AUUGAUGGGUAUGACAGCCCUAAAUAAUAAACAAUAUGUGUAUAUUCACCUGAUGACUACAUUAAGUUAAUGUUAUAAGUAGAAACCAAAAAAUUUUUAUGCAAUAUUCUAGAUUAAUCUUGUUAAUGUUUGAAAGGUAUGGCCAGAGGUUUGCCUUCUGGACUGAUGAGGCCAGAAGCUUGUUACAGGGAACCUUUCAGCCAAUAUUCAGAGUGCCAAGAAAGCGUGCCAUCACUGAGGAAAUUCCAGCCCACAUGCAGGCUGUCUUUGACCGCACUGCAGAGGAAAAGAGACUGGUGGACUUCAUUGUACAGUCACCGGGAGCUGAACAGCAUUUGGUGGCCAUCAUAUAUGGCCUGGCUGGGCUUCAGAAUUUGUCUGUGCAGGAUGCUGAGCAGGCCUUCCUCUCUGGUCCACAUUAUCAUCACAGUGAAGUGGAGGAAUUUAAUAGAAUGAUAGAGAAACAAUUGAGAAAAG